ACGACCUCAACUCAAGCAAGACUACCCGCUGAACUUAAGCAUAUCAGUAAGCCGGAGGAAAAGAAACUAACU
rnacentral:rRNA from 1 species